CUGGGCUCGAAGCGCAGUGGACCGGGAUGGAAACAUCCCUUCCCCUUAAAAGGCUGCUGCGGAGGUGCUGCAUGGCUGUCGUCAGCUCGUGUCGUGAGAUGUUGGGUUAAGUCCCGCAACGAGCGCAACCCUUAUCCCUAGUUGCUACCGGGUCAAGCCGAGCACUCUAGUGAAAACUGCCUCGGAUAACGGAGGAGGAAGGUGGGGAAUGACGUCAAGUCCUCAUGGCCUUUAUGUCCAGGGCUACACACGUGCUACAAUGGUCGGUACAAACCGUCGCAAACCCGCGAGGGGGAGCUAAUCGGAAAAAGCCGGCCUCAGUUCGGAUUGGAGUCUGCAACUCGACUCAUGAAGCUGGAAUCGCUAGUAAUCGCGGAUCAGAACGCCGCGGUGAAUACGUUCCC
rnacentral:rRNA from 1 species